rnacentral:pre_miRNA from 7 species
GACUGAAGCUGUGACCAGUCAGAAUAAUGUCAAAGUGCUUACAGUGCAGGUAGUGAUGUGUGCAUCUACUGCAGUGAGGGCACUUGUAGCAUUAUGCUGACAGCUGCCUCGGUGGGAGCC